GGGGGGGGGGGGGGGGGGGUGCGUUUGGAGGAUGACGCGGGAAGACUCUCUGUCUUCUUUGCUAAGAGGAAAGAGAAGAUGUGACGUGUAAUACACUUGGCACUUUGGAAUUUCUUUAGCUUGACACAGAAGCUGGCAAGAUGGUACAGGGGUUUUCAUGUGCCUCUCCCUCGGUGUCAUCCAAUGCCGACAUCUUAUAUUAUCCUGGCACAGCCAUUGGAAUGAAGAAGUGGACAUUUGCGUAUGGCCGUGAACUAAACUCCAGACCUCUCUUCAACCAUUUUUAGUGAAGGACCGUUAGGAGGCAGGGGCAGCCUUAGUAGGAGAAGAGCCUCUUCCUGUCAUGAAUCCUCAGCCCCUUCCGGAAGGCUCACAGCCUGACAGUGGAGCCAGAGAGCCAGUCGGGCAGAGACCCGGGUCGCCUGAUGGAUUCAGAACUCAAAGCAAAGAGCCUACGUGUUCUGGAAGACGGAAGGUGUCCUCACACGUGCGGGCCAUUAUUUUCAUUAAUAAAAUCAGUACAUCUGCUUAAAGAAACUGGCCUAAACAGGGAGGAAAAACCUGACUUUUCCCAAAAGUCUGCAUGAAAUAAACGCGCCAGUCUUUAACCAGUAAGCUAUAGCACUACCACAGAAAGGCGCUGACGAGUGUGCAGGAAUAGUUGAGCGGCUGUCACCGUGCAGAUCCCAAUAACACAGCCACAGCCCAGAUAGGAGGCAUCCACGGCCAGCAUUCCAGAGGGCCUCAGACCGUCACCCACACCCUUCCUUGUCUCCUUCCUGCAAAGUCGACAACUAGCCUCUUAUGGAUGUCACGGCCCUGGCUUUUCCAUAAAAUUUUACCAACUAAGCACGUGUCUUCGAUACUUUUGGUUCAUGUUGCCAGUGUUUUUAGAACUUGAUAUAAAACACACCAUCAGUAAGUC